AGAGUUUGAUCAUGGCUCAGAUUGAACGCUGGCGGCAUGCUUUACACAUGCAAGUCGAGCGGCAGCGCGGGGGCAACCCUGGCGGCGAGCGGCGAACGGGUGAGGAAUACAUCGGAACGUACCCCGGAGUGGGGGAUAACCCAGCGAAAGUUGGGCUAAUACCGCAUAUGCUCUGAGGAGGAAAGUGGGGGACUCGCAAGGGCCUCACGCUCUGGGAGCGGCCGAUGUCCGAUUAGCUUGUUGGUGGGGUAAUGGCUUACCAAGGCGACGAUCGGUAGCUGGUCUGAGAGGAUGGUCAGCCACACUGGGACUGAGACACGGCCCAGACUCCUACGGGAGGCAGCAGUGGGGAAUUUUGGACAAUGGGGGCAACCCUGGUCCAGCCAUGCCGCGUGCGGGAAGAAGGCCUUCGGGUUGUAAACCGCUUUUGGCCGGGAAGAAAAGGCGCCACCUAAUACGGGGCGUUCUUGACGGUACCGGCAGAAUAAGCACCGGCUAACUACGUGCCAGCAGCCGCGGUAAUACGUAGGGUGCGAGCGUUAAUCGGAAUUACUGGGCGUAAAAGCGUGCGCAGGCGGUCUGUUAUGUCUGAUGUGAAAGCCCCGGGCUCAACCUGGGAAUGGCAUUGGAAACUGGCAGGCUCGAGUAUGGCAGAGGGGGGUGGAAUUCCGCGUGUAGCAGUGAAAUGCGUAGAGAUGCGGAGGAACACCGAUGGCGAAGGCAGCCCCCUGGGCCAAUACUGACGCUCAGGCACGAAAGCGUGGGGAGCAAACAGGAUUAGAUACCCUAGUAGUCC
rnacentral:rRNA from 1 species